UGGCGGCACUAGCGCGGGGGUAACACCUGACACCAUGCCGAACUCAGAAGUGAAACGCCGUAGCGCCGAUGGUAGUGUGGGGUCUCCCCAUGCGAGAGUAGGGAACUGCCAGGC
rnacentral:rRNA from 1 species